rnacentral:lncRNA from 1 species
AAUUUUAUUUUAGGAAGUUGGUUUAUAUAGAGACUACGGUGGCGAUUCAAAACAUGUCCAGGAAACGAAUCCACGGCUUUUUCGAUUCAAGACUAUAGAUUUAUAUUUUUUUUUUCCUAUACCAUUUAAAAUCCUAUAGAUCUUUUCAUUAUCAGCAACUGGACAUCUAAUGAAAUCCAGUAAUAAGACUGAUCAAGUGUGCGGUGUGCUUAAGGAAGAAGAACAAGGUUUCAAAGGCAGAGCAAGAGACUAAUCGGCUUAUGAAGAUAAAAUGUAUUAAUAGACUCUCUUUGGUCCAGAGUCUUUGCAGUUAAAGGAAGCAGCUCAAGUAUAAAUAAAAUAAGGAAGUUUCUAGUUUCUUGGAGAUUAUGAUUUUGCAAUUUGUGAGUGAGACGAGAGUCUUGAGGUGAUAUUCUCUUGAGAGGAUUCGUGAGUGUGGGAGUGGAUUGGAAUUCUCAGUUUGCGAGAGAUUAAUUUGGAUAUCCCUUGAGUUUCAUAGAUUCAAAGUUGUAUUCCUCUUUGUUACAUCAAUAUAUUUUAUUCAUCAAAUUCGGAGAGUUGAGAUUGUGUUUCAAGAGAGUUUGAGGAACCAAUCUUAACAUCCAGCUGAUCAUUGCAUAUUAUCAUAACCUCAUUU